rnacentral:rRNA from 1 species
AACCUCCGCAAUGUGAGAAAUCGCGACGGGGGGAUCCCAAGUGCCAUUCUUAACGGGAUGGCUUUUCAUUAGUGUAAAGAGCUUUUGGAAUAAGAGCUGGGCAAGACCGGUGCCAGCCGCCGCGGUAACACCGGCAGCUCUAGUGGUAACAAUUUUUAUUGGGCCUAAAGCGUUCGUAGCCGGUUUAAUAAGUCUCUGGUGAAAUCCUGUAGCUUAACUGUGGGAAUUGCUGGAGAUACUAUUAGACUUGAGACCGGGAGAGGUUAGAGGUACUCCCAGGGUAGAGGUGAAAUUCUGUAAUCCUGGGAGGACCGCCUGUUGCGAAGGCGUCUAACUGGAACGGUUCUGACGGUGGGGGACGAAAGUUAGGGGCGCGAACCGGAUUAGAUACCCGGGUAGUCCUAACUGUAAACGAUGCGGACUUGGUGUUGGGGUGGCUUUGAGCUGCUCCAGUGCCGAAGGGAAGCUGUUAAGUCCGCCGCCUGGGAAGUACGGUCGCAAGACUGAAACUUAAAGGAAUU